rnacentral:rRNA from 1 species
UUGACCUCAAAUCAGGUAGGACUACCCGCUGAACUUAAGCAUAUCAAUAAGCGGAGGAAAAGAAACUAACAAGGAUUCCCCUAGUAACUGCGAGUGAAGCGGGAAAAGCUCAAAUUUAAAAUCUGACGGUCUUUCGGCCGUCCGAGUUGUAAUCUGGAGAAGCGUUUUCCGCGUCGGACCGUGUACAAGUCUUCUGGAAGGGAGCGUCAUAGAGGGUGAGAAUCCCGUCUUUGACACGGACCACCGAUGCUUUUGUGAUGCGCUCUCGAAGAGUCGAGUUGUUUGGGAAUGCAGCUCAAAAUGGGUGGUAAAUUCCAUCUAAAGCUAAAUAUUGGCGAGAGACCGAUAGCGAACAAGUACCGUGAGGGAAAGAUGAAAAGCACUUUGGAAAGAGAGUUAAACAGUACGUGAAAUUGUUGAAAGGGAAACGUUUGAAGUCAGUCGCGUCGGCCGAGACUCAGCCUUGCUUCUGCUCGGUGCACUUCUCGGUUGACGGGUCAGCAUCAAUUUUGACCGUCGGAUAAAGGUCGAGGGAAUGUGGCAUCUCUCGGGAUGUGUUAUAGCCCUUGAUUCGGAUACGGCGAUUGGGAUUGAGGAACUCAGCGUGCCUUUAUGGUCGGGGUAUCAACCCACGUAACA